AAAAAAAAUCAAAGAGGAUAUGGAAGCUAAGGAAUAUGAGAAUUUGGAAGGAACUGCGGAAGCCGAUUUAUGUGAUGACUUUGUGAUGAGCCCAAGAGACAUGAGAAUUUUAGAAGAUGCUCGAGAUGUUUCUCAAAAAGAUGAAGGUGGUAAUGAGAAUAACAGAGAAACGCCAUCUAUCAAACGGGCUGUCGGAAAGAGGGAGAGGAAGGAUGGACCCUCUGUUACUUCACCUUAUAUGCCUCUAGAUCAACCAAAGGAAGGCACAAAGAAGAGACGUGUCAUCCAGAUAUUGGAUAGUCCUGAUGGGAAAAAAAGUACAAAAAUGAAGAAGGCUUCAUACCUACAUCUAGAGACUAUCCAGGUAAGGCACUGGCGUUUGAUUAUGAGAACAAAUUAAUUGAAGACUUUCUACAAUCGAGAAUGAACAGUGAUACGUACAUUUGGAAGUGUGCCGAAGCAAGCGUAUCUCGCUUAGAUGCUUAUAUACUAUUAACGGGAGGUGAACUCAGUGACGAUGUGAUCGAUGCAUUUGUUAUUCGGCUUUGUAACAAGAUUGAAACAACUGAUAGUUAUGAUCGAAAGAUACAUGUCACAAGACCUUGGCUUGCAGUAAGUAUAUCCUUGUUUUUUUCACUAAUUGGUGGAUAUUAUUAUUAUGUUAUCCCACAAUGUUGACAUUAUUGCAUCUUUUAGCAAGCAUUUCUAGAAGGAAAUC